UGGCGAACGGGUGAGUAACACGUGGGUGAUCUGCCCUGCACUUCGGGAUAAGCCUGGGAAACUGGGUCUAAUACCGGAUAGGACGAUGGUUUGGAUGCCAUUGUGGAGAGUUUUUCGGUGUGGGAUGAGCUCGCGGCCUAUCAGCUUGUUGGUGGGGUAAUGGCCUACAAAGGCGUCGACGGGUAGCCGGCCUGAGAGGGUGUACGGCCACAUUGGGACUGAGAUACGGCCCAG
rnacentral:rRNA from 1 species